rnacentral:rRNA from 1 species
AUACGUAGGUGGCGAGCGUUGUCCGGAAUUAUUGGGCGUAAAGAGCAUGUAGGCGGCGCUUUAAGUCUUUCGUGAAAAUGCGGGGCUUAACCCCGUAUGGCGGGAGAAACUGGAGCGCUUGAGUGCAGGAGAGGAAAGGGGAAUUCCCAGUGUAGCGGUGAAAUGCGUAGAUAUUGGGAGGAACACCAGUGGCGAAGGCGCCUUUCUGGACUGUGUCUGACGCUGAGAUGCGAAAGCCAGGGUAGC